AUUGAACGCUGGCGGCAGGCCUAACACAUGCAAGUCGAGCGGAUGAGGGAAGCUUGCUUCCCGAUUUAGCGGCGGACGGGUGAGUAAUGCCUAGGAAUCUGCCUAUUAGUGGGGGAUAACGUUCCGAAAGGAACGCUAAUACCGCAUACGUCCUACGGGGGAAAGUGGGGGAUCUUCGGGCCUCACGCUAAUAGAUGAGCCUAGGUCGGAUUAGCUAGUUGGUGGGGUAACGGCUCACCAAGGCGACGAUCCGUAGCUGGUCUGAGAGGAUGAUCAGCCACACUGGAACUGAGACACGGUCCAGACUCCUACGGGAGGCAGCAGUGGGGAAUAUUGGACAAUGGGCGAAAGCCUGAUCCAGCCAUGCCGCGUGUGUGAAGAAGGUCUUCGGAUUGUAAAGCACUUUAAGUUGGGAGGAAGGGUUGUAAGCUAAUAUCUUGCAGCUUUGACGUUACCAACAGAAUAAGCACCGGCUAACUCUGUGCCAGCCGCCGCCGUAAGAC
rnacentral:rRNA from 1 species